UACGGGGGGGGUAAGCGUUGUUCGGAAUUACUGGGCGUAAAGGGCGCGUAGGCGGCUUUAUAAGUCGGGGGUGAAAGCCUGUGGCUCAACCACAGAAUUGCCUUCGAUACUGUAGAGCUUGAGUUCGGGAGAGGUGAGUGGAACUGCGAGUGUAGAGGUGAAAUUCGUAGAUAUUCGCAAGAACACCAGUGGCGAAGGCGGCUCACUGGCCCGAUACUGACGCUGAGGUGCGAAAGCGUGGGGAGCAAACAGG
rnacentral:rRNA from 1 species